AAUCCUACGGGAGGCAGCAGUGGGGAAUAUUGGUCAAUGGGCGCGAGCCUGAACCAGCCAAGUCGCGUGAGGGAAGACGGUCCUAUGGAUUGUAAACCUCUUUUGUCGGGGAGCAAAAGACGCCAUGCGUGGCGUUCCGAGAGUACCCGAAGAAAAAGCAUCGGCUAACUCCGUGCCAGCAGCAGCGGUAAUACGGAGGAUGCGAGCGUUAUCCGGAUUUAUUGGGUUUAAAGGGUGCGCAGGCGGAAGAUCAAGUAAGCGGUAAAAUUGAGAGGCUCAGCCUCUUCGAGCCGUUGAAAAUGGUU
rnacentral:rRNA from 1 species